UGUGGAAAUUAUGAAAAAUGGGGUACGGAUUGAAUUUCCUGAAAAUGCCAUCCAUUUCCUGAUUUGCC